rnacentral:rRNA from 1 species
CCUACGGGUGGCAGCAGUGAGGAAUAUUGGUCAAUGGAGGCAACCCUGAACCAGCCAAGUCGCGUGCAGGAUGAAGGCUCUAUGGAUUGUAAACCGCUUUUAUGCGGGAAUAAAUUGAGGCACGUGUGCCUUAUUGCAUGUACCUUAUGAAUAAGGACCGGCUAACUCCGUGCCAGCAGCCGCGGUAAUACGGAGGGUCCGUGCGUUAUCCGGAUUUAUUGGGUGUAAAGGGGGCGUAGGCGGCCUCUUAAGCGUGGUGUGAAAGGCCGUGGCUCAACCGUAGCAUUGCAGUGGGAACUGGGAGGCUUGAGUGCGCCUGAGGUAGGCGGAAUUCGUGGUGUAGCGGUGAAAUGCUUAGAUAUCACGAAGAACUCCGAUUGCGAAGGCAGCCUGCC